CGUAGUUCAGUGGUAGAAUAAUUGACUGUUAAUCAAGAGGUCGCUGGUUCGAGCCCAGCC
rnacentral:tRNA from 1 species